rnacentral:rRNA from 1 species
CAGUAGCCGCGGGAAAACGUAGGUCCCGAGCGUUGUCCGGAUUUAUUGGGCGUAAAGCGAGCGCAGGCGGUUCGUUAAGACAGAUGUGAAAUCCCCGGGCUCAACCUGGGACCUGCAUUUGUGACUGUAUAGCUAGAGUACGGUAGAGGGGGAUGGAAUUCCGCGUGUAGCAGUGAAAUGCGUAGAUAUGCGGAGGAACACCGAUGGCGAAGGCAAUCCCCUAGACCUGUACUGACGCUCAUGCACGAAAGCGUGGGGAGCAAACAGGAUUAGAUACCCCUGUAGUCCCUGUCUCUUAUAC